GGCCUAACUUGGUCUUCCUUAUGGAAACCAAGAAUAAGGAAAAUGUUGUCGAAGGGUUAGAAAACGUCCUCAAUUUAAGAAAAUGUUGUUAUAAUUAAUCCAGUUGGGAUUGGGGGUGGAUUAGCUCUUAUGUGGGAUGAGGAAGUUAAGGUGGAUUUGGAAACAAAUACUGAUGAACUCAUUGAUAUUAGAUGCAAAGAUCAAAA
rnacentral:lncRNA from 1 species